UGCCCCAUGGCUGAGUUGGUUACAGCGUCCGACUGUUACUCAAUAAACAUCGGAAGGUCGUGAGUUCGAGCCUCACUGGGGCAG